AUGCCGCGUGCAGGAAGACUGCCCUAUGGGUUGUAAACUGCUUUUAUACAGGAAGAAACGCUUCUACGAGUAGAGGUUUGACGGUACUGUAAGAAUAAGGAUCGGCUAACUCCGUGCCAGCAGCCGCGGUAAUACGGAGGAUCCAAGCGUUAUCCGGAAUCAUUGGGUUUAAAGGGUCCGUAGGUGGAUAAUUAAGUCAGAGGUGAAAUCCUGCAGCUCAACUGUAGAAUUGCCUUUGAUACUGGUUAUCUUGAGUCAUUAUGAAGUGGUUAGAAUGUGUAGUGUAGCGGUGAAAUGCAUAGAUAUUACACAGAAUACCGAUUGCGAAGGCAGAUCACUAAUAAUGUACUGACACUGAUGGACGAAAGCGUGGGGAGCGAACAGGAUUAGAUACCCUGGUAGUCCACGCCGUAAACGAUGGUCACUAGCUGUGUGGAUUUCGGUCUGCGUGGCUAAGCGAAAGUGAUAAGUGACCCACCUGGGGAGUACGUUCGCAAGAAUGAAACUCAAG
rnacentral:rRNA from 1 species